rnacentral:rRNA from 1 species
UACGGGGGGGGCAAGCGUUGUUCGGAAUUACUGGGCGUAAAGGGCUCGUAGGUGGCCAACUAAGUCAGACGUGAAAUCCCUCGGCUUAACCGGGGAACUGCGUCUGAUACUGGAUGGCUAGAGAUUGGGAGAGGGAUGCGGAAUUCCAGGUGUAGCGGUGAAAUGCGUAGAUAUCUGGAGGAACACCGGUGGCGAAGGCGGCAUCCUGGACCGAUAUUGACGCUGAUGCGCGAAAGCCAGGGGAGCAAACGGG